rnacentral:rRNA from 1 species
GAUGAACGCUGGCGGCGUGCCUAAUACAUGCAAGUCGAGCGAGCAGACGAGGAGCUUGCUCCUCUGACGUUAGCGGCGGACGGGUGAGUAACACGUGGAUAACCUACCUAUAAGACUGGGAUAACUUCGGGAAACCGGAGCUAAUACCGGAUAAUAUAUUGAACCGCAUGGUUCAAUAGUGAAAGACGGUUUUGCUGUCACUUAUAGAUGGAUCCGCGCCGCAUUAGCUAGUUGGUAAGGUAACGGCUUACCAAGGCAACGAUGCGUAGCCGACCUGAGAGGGUGAUCGGCCACACUGGAACUGAGACACGGUCCAGACUCCUACGGGAGGCAGCAGUAGGGAAUCUUCCGCAAUGGGCGAAAGCCUGACGGAGCAACGCCGCGUGAGUGAUGAAGGUCUUCGGAUCGUAAAACUCUGUUAUUAGGGAAGAACAAAUGUGUAAGUAACUAUGCACGUCUUGACGGUGCCUAAUCAGAAAGCCACGGCUAACUACGUG